rnacentral:rRNA from 1 species
CUCGGGUUCUAUUUUGUUGGUUUUCAGAACUAUGAGCAAUGAUUAAUAGGGAUAGUUGGGGGCAUUAAUAUUUGAUUGUCAGAGGUGAAAUUCUUGGAUUUAUGAAAGAUUGACCAGGGCGAAAGCAUCUGCCAAGGAUGUUUUCAUUGAUCAAGAACGAAAGUUAGGGGAUCGAAGACGAUCAGAUACCGUCGUAGUCCUGACCAUAAACUAUGCCAACUCGGGAUCGGCGGCUGUUACUUCACGACGCCGUCGGCACCGUCCGAGAAAUCAAAGUCUUUGGGUUCCGGGGGGAGUAUGGUCGCAAGGCUGAAACUUAAAGGAAUUGACGGAAGGGCACCACCAGGAGUGGAGCCUGCGGCUUAAUUUGACUCAACACGGGGAAACUCA